rnacentral:misc_RNA from 1 species
GAUGAAGAACGUAGUGAAAUGCGAUACGUAAUGUGAAUUGCAGAAUUCAGUGAAUCAUCGAAUCUUUGAACGCAUAUUGCGCUCUCUGGUAUUCCGGAGAGCAUGCUUGUUUGAGUAUCAGUAAACACCUCAACUUCCAUAUCUUUUUUGAAAUGGGAGUUGGACUUGAGUGAUCCCAACGCUUUUCCUCACCGAAAAGUGGCGGGUUACUUGAAAUGCAGGUGCAGCUGGACUUUUCUCUGAGCUAUAAGCAUAUCUAUUUAGUCUGCCUAAAAACAGAUUAUUACCUUUGCUGCAGCUAACAUAAAGGAGAUUAGUUCUUGUGCUGACUGAUGCAGGAUUCACAAAGACAGGCUUCGGCCGACUUUGUAAACUCGAUCUCAAAUCAAGUAAGACUACCCGCUGAACUUAAGCAUAUCAAUAAGCAGAGGA